rnacentral:rRNA from 1 species
CAUAUGGUCGACCUGCAGGCGGCCGCGAAUUCACUAGUGAUUAGAGUUUGAUCAUGGCUCAGAUUGAACGCUGGCGGUAUGCUUAACACAUGCAAGUCGAACGGUAGCAGGUCUUCGGAUGCUGACGAGUGGCGGACGGGUGAGUAACGCGUAGGAAUCUGCCUAUUAGUGGGGGACAACGUGUGGAAACGCACGCUAAUACCGCAUACGCCCUACGGGGGAAAGGAGGGGAUCGUAAGACCUUUCGCUAAUAGAUGAGCCUGCGUAGGAUUAGCUAGUUGGUGGGGUAAAGGCUCACCAAGGCGACGAUCCUUAGCUGUUCUGAGAGGAAGAUCAGCCACACUGGGACUGAGACACGGCCCAGACUCCUACGGGAGGCAGCAGUGGGGAAUAUUGGACAAUGGGCGAAAGCCUGAUCCAGCAAUACCGCGUGUGUGAAGAAGGCCUUAGGGUUGUAAAGCACUUUCAAUUGGGAGGAAAAAAUAGGCGUUAAUACCGUCUAUCAUUGACAUACCUUUAG